rnacentral:rRNA from 1 species
GACGAACGCUGGCGGCGUGCUUAACACAUGCAAGUCGAACGGAAAGGCCCUGCUUUUGUGGGGUGCUCGAGUGGCGAACGGGUGAGUAACACGUGAGUAACCUGCCCUUGCCUUUGGGAUAACUUCAGGAAACUGGGGCUAAUACCGGAUAGGAGCUCCUGCUGCAUGGUGGGGGUUGGAAAGUUUCGGCGGUUGGGGAUGGACUCGCGGCUUAUCAGCUUGUUGGUGGGGUAGUGGUUUACCAAGGCAUUGCCGGGUAGCCGGGCUGAGAGGGGGACCGGCCACAUUGGGACUGAGAUACGGCCCAGACUCCUACGGGAGGCAGCAGUGGGGAAUAUUGCACAAUGGGCGGAAGCCGGAUGCAGCAACGCCGCGUGCGGGAUGACGGCCUUCGGGUUGUAAACCGCUUUCGCCUGUGACGAAGCGUGAGUGACGGUAAUGGGUAAAGAAGCACCGGCUAACUACGUG